rnacentral:rRNA from 1 species
UACGAAGGGGGCUAGCGUUGCUCGGAAUCACUGGGCGUAAAGGGUGCGUAGGCGGGUCUUUAAGUCAGGGGUGAAAUCCUGGAGCUCAACUCCAGAACUGCCUUUGAUACUGAAGAUCUUGAGUUCGGGAGAGGUGAGUGGAACUGCGAGUGUAGAGGUGAAAUUCGUAGAUAUUCGCAAGAACACCAGUGGCGAAGGCGCCACUCUGGGCCGAAACUGACGCUGAGGAGCGAAAGCAUGGGUAGCAAACAGG